rnacentral:tRNA from 1 species
GCCCAGCUAGCUCAGUUGGUAGAGCAUGAGACUCUUAAUCUCAGGGUCUGGUUCAUGCCCCACGUUGGGCG